rnacentral:rRNA from 1 species
ACGAACGCUGGCGGCACGCUUAACACAUGCAAGUCGAACGAGAGAAGAGAAGCUUGCUUUUCUGAUCUAGUGGCGGACGGGUGAGUAACACGUGAGCAAUCUGCCUUUCAGAGGGGGAUACCGAUUGGAAACGAUCGUUAAUACCGCAUAACAUAAUUGAACCGCAUGAUUUGAUUAUCAAAGAUUUAUCGCUGAAAGAUGAGCUCGCGUCUGAUUAGCUAGUUGGUAAGGUAACGGCUUACCAAGGCGACGAUCAGUAGCCGGACUGAGAGGUUGAUCGGCCACAUUGGGACUGAGACACGGCCCAGACUCCUACGGGAGGCAGCAGUGGGGAAUAUUGCACAAUGGAGGAAACUCUGAUGCAGCGAUGCCGCGUGAGGGAAGAAGGUUUUAGGAUUGUAAACCUCUGUCUUCAGGGACGAAAAAUGACGGUACCUGAGGAGGAAGCUCCGGCUAACUACGUGCCAGCAGCCGCGGUAAUACGUAGGGAGCGAGCGUUGUCCGGAAUUACUGGGUGUAAAGGGAGCGUAGGCGGGAUCGCAAGUCAGAUGUGAAAACUAUGGGCUUAACCCAUAAACUGCAUUUGAAACUGUGGUUCUUGAGUGAAGUAGAGGUAAGCGGAAUUCCUAGUGUAGCGGUGAAAUGCGUAGAUAUUAGGAGGAACAUCAGUGGCGAAGGCGGCUUACUGGGCUUUAACUGACGCUGAGGCUCGAAAGUGUGGGUAGCAAACAGGAUUAGAUACCCUGGUAGUCCACGCCGUAAACGAUGAUUACUAGGUGUGGGGGGACUGACCCCUUCCGUGCCGCAGCAAACGCAAUAAGUAAUCCACCUGGGGAGUACGACCGCAAGGUUGAAACUCAAAGGAAUUGACGGGGGCCCGCACAAGCAGUGGAGUAUGUGGAUUAAUUCGAAGCAACGCGAAGAACCUUACCAGGUCUUGACAUCGUAUGCAUAGCUCAGAGAUGAGUGAAAUCUCUUCGGAGACAUAUAGACAGGUGGUGCAUGGUUGUCGUCAGCUCGUGUCGUGAGAUGUUGGGUUAAGUCCCGCAACGAGCGCAACCCUUACUGUUAGUUGCUACGCAAGAGCACUCUAGCAGGACUGCCGUUGACAAAACGGAGGAAGGUGGGGAUGACGUCAAAUCAUCAUGCCCCUUAUGACCUGGGCCUCACACGUACUACAAUGGCUGUCAACAGAGGGAAGCAAAGCCGCGAGGUGGAGCAAACCCCUAAAAGCAGUCUUAGUUCGGAUUGUAGGCUGCAACCCGCCUACAUGAAGUCGGAAUUGCUAGUAAUCGCAGAUCAGCAUGCUGCGGUGAAUACGUUCCCGGGCCUUGUACACACCGCCCGUCACGCCAUGGGAGUCGGUAACACCCGAAGCCUGUAGUCUAACCGCAAGGAGGACGCAGUCGAAGGUGGGAUUGAUGACUGGGGUG